rnacentral:rRNA from 1 species
UACGUAGGGUCCAAGCGUUGUCCGGAAUUAUUGGGCGUAAAGAGCUCGUAGGCGGUGUGUCGCGUCGGAUGUGAAAGCCCGGGGCUUAACUUCGGGUCUGCAUUCGGUACGGGCAUGCUGGAGUUCGGUAGGGGAGACUGGAAUUCCUGGUGUAGCGGUGAAAUUCGUAGAUAUCGGGAGGAACACCAGUGGCGAAGGCGGCGAUCUGGGCAGUUACUGACGCUGAGGUGCGAAAGCGUGGGGAGCAAACAGG